AGCGAACAGAUAAGGAGCUUGCUCCUUUGACGUUAGCGGCGGACGGGUGAGUAACACGUGGGUAACCUACCUAUAAGACUGGAAUAACUCCGGGAAACCGGGGCUAAUGCCGGAUAACAUUUAGAACCGCAUGGUUCUAAAGUGAAAGAUGGUUUUGCUAUCACUUAUAGAUGGACCCGCGCCGUAUUAGCUAGUUGGUAAGGUAACGGCUUACCAAGGCAACGAUACGUAGCCGACCUGAGAGGGUGAUCGGCCACACUGGAACUGAGACACGGUCCAGACUCCUACGGGAGGCAGCAGUAGGGAAUCUUCCGCAAUGGGCGAAAGCCUGACGGAGCAACGCCGCGUGAGUGAUGAAGGUCUUCGGAUCGUAAAACUCUGUUAUUAGGGAAGAACAAAUGUGUAAGUAACUAUGCACGUCUUGACGGUACCUAAUCAGAAAGCCACGGCUAACUACGUGCCAGCAGCCGCGGUAAUACGUAGGUGGCAAGCGUUAUCCGGAAUUAUUGGGCGUAAAGCGCGCGUAGGCGGUUUCUUAAGUCUGAUGUGAAAGCCCACGGCUCAACCGUGGAGGGUCAUUGGAAACUGGGAAACUUGAGUGCAGAAGAGGAAAGUGGAAUUCCAUGUGUAGCGGUGAAAUGCGCAGAGAUAUGGAGGAACACCAGUGGCGAAGGCGACUUUCUGGUCUGUAACUGACGCUGAUGUGCGAAAGCGUGGGGAUCAAACAGGAUUAGAUACCCUGGUAGUCCACGCCGUAAACGAUGAGUGCUAAGUGUUAGGGGGUUUCCGCCCCUUAGUGCUGCAGCUAACGCAUUAAGCACUCCGCCUGGGGAGUACGACCGCAAGGUUGAAACUCAAAGGAAUUGACGGGGACCCGCACAAGCGGUGGG
rnacentral:rRNA from 1 species